rnacentral:rRNA from 1 species
UACAGAGGUCUCAAGCGUUGUUCGGAUUCAUUGGGCGUAAAGGGUGCGUAGGUGGCGCCGUAAGUCAGGUGUGAAAUUUCGGAGCUUAACUCCGAAACUGCAUUUGAUACUGCGGUGCUUGAGGACUGGAGAGGAGACUGGAAUUUACGGUGUAGCAGUGAAAUGCGUAGAGAUCGUAAGGAAGACCAGUGGCGGAAGGCGGGUCUCUGGACAGUUCCUGACAGCUGAGGCA